GCGGCUGUAAGUUCUUCGAUCCGAUCAAGGAGCAAUACAUUUCUCAGUGGAAUUUUCUCUUUGUGUUUGUGGAAGCUAGGUAUGCCAGCCUGAGCUUAACGAGGUUCUUGUAGGGGCAAUUUCCACUGUUUAGUUUGCGUCUUUGCUUCCAGGGUAUAGUCGAGAUUAAAGGCCUCGAAGAGUACACUGGAUUGGUAUCUAUUUCUAUUUAAUUCUGAGAGGAUUUCUUUGCAGCAAUACUGAAGAUCAAAGGUCUGGAUUGCCUCGUGAAUCUUCGCUGCCUCUAUUGAAGAAAAAGAACCUUUGCAUGCCUGAUUAUCGGCCACAUCGAGUGCUUCCCACGUGGGGGUGUUUGUCAAGUCCUUCCACAUCUUCGAGCAAGUUCUAUAAAAACUCAAGUGUGUUCUAUGGUGAGGGCUCAAGGGCUGAAAGAGUGGAAGAAGUUUUUUGCCCAUCACUGGAGAGUGGUUCUUACUCAGUAGCCCAUGUUUUUGCUCUUCCAACAAUAUCCACUGGCAACAACCAAUGAUCUAAAAAGCACUAUUAAAACUUGCUAGUUAUAAGGAGAUCAUCUAGUGAUAACAACAAAUGCAGAACAAUCUUAUGGAGGA